AUUGAACGCUGGCGGCAUGCCUUACACAUGCAAGUCGAACGGUAACAGGUCUUCGGAUGCUGACGAGUGGCGCACGGGUGAGUAAUACAUCGGAACGUGCCCGAUCGUGGGGGAUAACGAGGCGAGAGCUUUGCUAAUACCGCAUACGAUCUACGGAUGAAAGCGGGGGAUCUUCGGACCUCGCGCGGACGGAGCGGCCGAUGGCAGAUUAGGUAGUUGGUGGGAUAAAAGCUUACCAAGCCGACGAUCUGUAGCUGGUCUGAGAGGAUGAUCAGCCACACUGGGACUGAGACACGGCCCAGACUCCUACGGGAGGCAGCAGUGGGGAAUUUUGGACAAUGGGCGAAAGCCUGAUCCAGCCAUGCCGCGUGCAGGAUGAAGGCCUUUGGGUUGUAAACUGCUUUUGUACGGAACGAAAAGCCUCUUUCUAAUAAAGAGGGGUCAUGACGGUACCGUAAGAAUAAGCACCGGCUAACUACGUG
rnacentral:rRNA from 1 species